rnacentral:rRNA from 1 species
UACGUAGGGGGCGAGCGUUGUCCGGAUUCAUUGGGCGUAAAGCGCGCGCAGGCGGCCGCGCGAGCCCGGCGUGAAAGCCCCCGGCUCAACCGGGGGAGGCCGUCGGGGACGUCGUGGCUGGAGGCCGGUAGGGGCGAGCGGAAUUCCCGGUGUAGCGGUGGAAUGCGCAGAUAUCAGGAGGAACACCGAUGGCGAAGGCAGGUCUCUGGGCCGCAACUGACGCUGAGGAGCGAAAGCAUGGGGAGCGAACAGG